rnacentral:rRNA from 1 species
GUAACACGUGGGCAACCUACCUUAUAGUUUGGGAUAACUCCGGGAAACCGGGGCUAAUACCGAAUAAUCUGUUUCACCUCAUGGUGAAACACUGAAAGACGGUUUCGGCUGUCGCUAUAGGAUGGGCCCGCGGCGCAUUAGCUAGUUGGUGAGGUAACGGCUCACCAAGGCGACGAUGCGUAGCCGACCUGAGAGGGUGAUCGGCCACACUGGGACUGAGACACGGCCCAGACUCCUACGGGAGGCAGCAGUAGGGAAUCUUCCACAAUGGGCGAAAGCCUGAUGGAGCAACGCCGCGUGAGUGAAGAAGGAUUUCGGUUCGUAAAACUCUGUUGUAAGGGAAGAACAAGUACAGUAGUAACUGGCUGUACCUUGACGGUACCUUAUUAGAAAGCCACGGCUAACUACGUGCCAGCAGCCGCGGUAAUACGUAGGUGGCAAGCGUUGUCCGGAAUUAUUGGGCGUAAAGCGCGCGCAGGUGGUUUCUUAAGUCUGAUGUGAAAGCCCACGGCUCAACCGUGGAGGGUCAUUGGAAACUGGGAGACUUGAGUGCAGAAGAGGAUAGUGGAAUUCCAAGUGUAGCGGUGAAAUGCGUAGAGAUUU